rnacentral:rRNA from 1 species
AUGGGGGGCAACUUGUAUACGAUCAGGGCUUGGGAUGCGGUCGUACGAUCAAUACAUCUGAGCCAUCUAAUGGCGAUCCUAUGGUACAGAUCGAGCAAGGUGGAGAGGUGCUACACAUUUUGCAUGAAACACCUCAACAUGCUGAAAUAUAGCAGUCUGAGCUCCUCUCACCACACGACUCAGCAGUCAACAUCAAAAUCAAGCCAUUCUUGGCACGAGCAGCCGGAGUGCAUCGUCGUGAGCGGUGAGCCGCUCCGACGUGCGCCGCUGACCUCGCUGGAUCAACCAUGCCUAAGUCUCACAGCCACCCAGAUCCACCCGUCCCAAUCCUCCAUGUCGCUGGAUCUUAUGGUUCCAAGGCACACUGCCUCCAUCUCCGGCCAUCACGAGACCCGACCCUGCCAUGCCAUGCGAUCCAGCUGCUAG